rnacentral:sRNA from 1 species
GAGAGAGUCAAAAAGACCGCGAAACCGUUAGGAGGGAAACGAAUGCAGCCAAAGUGGCUCUCAUUCAGGCUCAGGAGUUGUCGGUGCGCAGUGCCAGGCUGUUGGACACCGAAGGGUGCGGCAGUCAGGAUACAGCAUGCCGAGCACUCUGCAUUCCUGAUGAGAGUCGGCCAACAGCAGUUACCCCUGACUCGAAAGGGCUGUCGGGAAGGUAGCUUCUUGGUUUACCAGGAAGAACUUAUAGCCAUCGGCCUGGCAGUUGGGGGUGACUGAGGAGUGCUGUGACUUUUCACACCAGCAGUGCAGGCUCCCUAGGGGCCGGGUCGCUUCUGUCCGUGUGGGCAAUGCUUCCGGGACUGCAUGCAGUGUCGGAAGACAUGUGUGUGCUCGGGUGGGAGGUUGGCCACGCCUUGCACUGAAGUUGUUGGUACCUGGAUGGUUUCAUUCGACCCGUCUUG